rnacentral:rRNA from 1 species
UGAGGAAUAUUGGUCAAUGGGCGGGAGCCUGAACCAGCCAAGUCGCGUGAGGGAAGACGGUACUGAGUAUUGUAAACCUCUUUUGUCAGGGAGCAAAGGCGGCCAUGCGUGGCCGAUUGAGCGUACCUGAAGAAAAAGCAUCGGCUAACUCCGUGCCAGCAGCCGCGGUAAUACGGAGGAUGCGAGCGUUAUCCGGAUUUAUUGGGUUUAAAGGGUGCGCAGGCGGACCGUCAAGUCAGCGGUAAAAUGUCGGGGCUCAACCCCGGCCGGCCGUUGAAACUGGCGGACUUGAGUUGGAGAGAAGUAUGCGGAAUUCGUGGUGUAGCGGUGAAAUGCAUAGAUAUCACGAAGAACUCCGAUUGCGAAGGCAGCAUACCGGCUCCACACUGACGCUGAGGCACGAAAGCGUGGGGAGCAAACAGGAUUAGAACC